UACAGAGGUCCCAAGCGUUGUUCGGAUUCACUGGGCGUAAAGGGUGCGUAGGAGGGCAGGUAAGUCAGUGGUGAAAUCCUAGAGCUUAACUCUAGAACUGCCGUUGAUACUAUCUGUCUUGAAUAUUGUGGAGGUGAGCGGAAUAUGUCAUGUAGCGGUGAAAUGCUUAGAUAUGACAUAGAACACCAAUUGCGAAGGCAGCUCGCUACACAUAUAUUGACUCUGAGGCACGAAAGCGUGGGGAUCAAACAGG
rnacentral:rRNA from 1 species